rnacentral:rRNA from 1 species
AACGAACGCUGGCGGCAGGCUUAACACAUGCAAGUCGAACGCAUCGCAAGAUGAGUGGCAGACGGGUGAGUAACGCGUGGGAACAUACCCUUUUCUACGGAAUAGCUCUGGGAAACUGGAAUUAAUACCGUAUACGCCCUACGGGGGAAAGAUUUAUCGGGGAAGGAUUGGCCCGCGUUGGAUUAGCUAGUUGGUGGGGUAAAGGCCUACCAAGGCGACGAUCCAUAGCUGGUCUGAGAGGAUGAUCAGCCACAUUGGGACUGAGACACGGCCCAAACUCCUACGGGAGGCAGCAGUGGGGAAUAUUGGACAAUGGGCGCAAGCCUGAUCCAGCCAUGCCGCGUGAGUGAUGAAGGCCUUAGGGUUGUAAAGCUCCUUCACCGAUGAAGAUAAUGACGGUAGUCGGAGAAGAAGCCCCGGCUAACUUCGUGCCAGCCGCCGCAGUAAAAC